CACUGUCUGAGGUCUUCAUAUGGUUUUCUCAUUGAAUCCUCACCGCACCCCAUGAGUUUCUUCCAUUAGGUCAACACAGUGGACUUUCUGAGUAGUCCAUCCGUCAACAAGCACGGAGGUUGUUUACAUUUUCAUUCCAGGCCAACAAAGUGAUGUUGGAGAGGAGGCAUUCUGAAAUCCCCAGCAAGUCCAGAUGGGUAACCUGGGCUGUUCAGGACCAGUUACAGGCACAGAGGCAGCACAUGCAAAACGAGCCCGAACACCAGUGCCAGCCCUUCCACUAGAGCUGCAGGGGUGCCUUUAUUUUAUCUUCUCAUUUUUCCUCUUCUGAAAAAAUCUCUGCUGCUUUAUCUGAGAGGUGUUUUCCAGAAGCUGAAGGUUGAUGCUGAACUGCUGAAGCUGGAGGAGCCAGAUGACAAAGAGCAUGGUGAGGAGGAGUAUCAGGCUAUGACACACGUUAUUUUGGAAAAACUUUUCAUAUGAUUAUUUAUUUUUCUAAUCCACCAUUUUUGGAAUGAGCUGAGAUUAGCCCAACUAAUAUUAACAUCAGUUCUAGGCUUGAAUCCAAACAGACUUUUCAAGAUCUCUAAAUUCCUUCAGAGAUGCUUAGAGGGAUAGAAUGCAGCUGAAUCACAGUCUCCCAACCAGAUCUUCCUUACCCGUGAGAACUACGGUCAAAGGAGGACUUAUCCAAGGAACUGCAAAGACUUUUUGAUCCAGACAUCAGUUUAUCUAGGCACUCACCACUGAUGGUCCAAGUCCAUCCACUUGGUCCUGAGAAAACCUUCUCAAAGUGCCUGGGAGAAAAUCCAUGGUUUCACUGAGACACCAAUGAGUAUGAAUAAUAGAGAAGACCAGACCUUGGCUGACACUUUGAGAAUCUCUGAUAGAAUUGAUUCCCCCUCUCAGCUGGCACCAUCCAGGAAGAACCACAUGACCAGCUUGCCUGCUUGAUCUGAGCAGCACUGAUUGAAAGAGAAAACUACUGUUUUGUGAAUGAUCAACCUCACUCAAAGUUGACAUUUUUAACAUUGAAGCUGAAUAAUCUGGAGAUGGUGCUGGCAAAAGUCAGUAGAGACAGAGAGAGCUCAAAGCUCCCAGGAGCAUCCUGAUUCUGGCAGAAGCAGGAGCAGAGAGUUUAGAAUCAUGAGAUCAUCAUAAACCCCCUUCUUGGAAGAUCUCAGGACCUCAGACCACAGAAAUUACCCUCCACUUCAGUUUUGCCAUCCAUCAUACUAAGGCAGAAACACAUCUCACCUUCCUGCUACUCAAGAAUUGGCAAAUAAAGGCAAAAUCUCGCCCCUCUCUGAGAUUCUCAAAGAACAGUGUUUGACUCUGUUCAGUGGGGUUUUCCAGGGCCAAAAAUGCCUGUGGGAUUGAUUUUGGAGUCCCAGCAACCCUCAUCUCUUAGUCCUUAUAUUGCAUGCAGGUCCACAGGAAGAGAGGGUUGGCACUCAAAGGAUCACAGUUUCUAUCCCACGUCAUCACUCUUACUGACCACUCUGGCUCUGGGGAUGCUGCAUCUCUCUGAAAUCCACCCAGUUGCGGGAAAUACUGAGAGUUUAGGCCUACUUCCCAUUAUCUGAAUAAAAUAGAUAACAUCGUUUUUUCUUUUCCAAGAAAAUGGAAAUCAAGCCCACUGUUUUGUGUUAUCAGUUUAACCGCUGAGUUGAGGUGUCACCAGCAAGUACUGAGCUUUAACUGUUUCCAAAUGGGGCUUCUGAGAGGCACUGAGUUGGCAUCUACCAAGGACUUGGUCUACACAUAGAGGGAAGACAGAGACCAGGAAACACUCAUCUUUCUGCAAUUCAACUCUGGGCUCCAUCUUGAAGGAAAUGAAUGCAUGAAGAACAUUCUUAACCUAGUAUGUCUACGGCCAUACCACCCUAGGCGUGCCCAAUCUCGUCUGAACCCAGUACGUGACAUGCCCUAUGCUGAUGCUUUCAUAUGCGUUACCUUAUUUAAUCCUCAUGACUUCCACAUUAAUAAUAAUUACCUAUGAUGUGAGAGGGUCAUUAUACCAAUUUUAUGAAGAAAAUAUGGCUCAAAGAAAUAAUUUUUAAGUAGCAACACCAACAUUUGGAAUCUUCUUGAAACUUCUAACUCCUAGAAGACCACCAUGCUGUAUUUUUGGUCUACAAAUUUAAAUGGAAUAGUAUCUAAUGUUGGGGAAAACGGGAGGAAUGAAGGGUGACUGCUAAAGAGUACAGGAUUUCUUUUAGUGGUGAUGAAAAUGUUCUAAAAUUGACAGUGAUGACCAUUGCUCAACUCCAUGAGGACUCUAAAAUUCAUUGAAUUGUAUAUUUUAAAUGGGUGAAUUGUAUGGCAUGUGAGUUAUAACCACACAGAGCUGUUACAAAUAAGUAAUAUUUAAUGGAGGCCUCUUCCCACCCUACUCUACAACAGUCACAAAAACCUCUCAAUUUUCCCAUAUAUCCUGAAGUAGAAGGGCUUGCCUUUUAUCUCUUUGUAAUUUUAUGUAGUGGACAAUAAACAAAUGGCUGAUUGUAAUGAUGAAAAAGAUCCAAAUUUCUCCAGUAAAGUUGGGGGAGAAAUGCCCAGUUACAAGCAGCUGAAUGGAGGUCAGAGAGAACCAUAAUCCCAGAUAAAAAAUAAGCAGGCAAAAUUUUCUGUAGCACAAUCCCUCUCUCAUUUCAAGAAUCUGCCCACACGCUCCUCACACCUCCUCCUCUCCUGUCACUACCACCAUGAUCUUGUGGUUACACAAUUUCAUUCAGAGUCAAAAUUAGAAAUUAACUAAAGAAGCUAUGGUAUGGUAUUUUAUUCUAAGAUGUCAUCUCUUUUCAAAUGAAUCAUCAAUUUAAUAACAGUUUUCCAAGUGUUAAAAAUGUGGGGUAAAAAUGCAUUUUAGAAUCAAAGAAAUGUACUAAUCCCUAUGAAGAUGGUAAUCCAAUUAAAGUGUAAUUUCUCCAUAUUUGAAGACAUUUUCAGUGCAUGAAAAUGCUUUUUAGAAUCAGAGGGCUAAUGAAUGUUUAAUGAUGUAAAUCUAUGCCUGACACAAUAGAAGAACGACUGGUGUUUAUUGUUUAGGAUGGAGGGGGCCGCUUCCCAGAAUCUAUCGAAUGCCCAAAGCCUGUGCCCUCCCCAUUCAUUUUUCUGGGCUGAACCCUCACUCUCAUUUUCAAGGUUAACAGGGGAAGUAGA
rnacentral:lncRNA from 1 species